GAUGAAGAACGUAGCGAAAUGCGAUAAGUAAUGUGAAUUGCAGAAUUCAGUGAAUCAUCGAAUCUUUGAACGCACAUUGCGCCCGCCAGUAUUCUGGCGGGCAUGCCUGUCUGAGCGUCAUUUCAACCCUCAUGCCCCUAGGGCGUGGUGUUGGGGAUCGGCCAAAGCCCGCGAGGGACGGCCGGCCCCUAAAUCUAGUGGCGGACCCGUCGUGGCCUCCUCUGCGAAGUAGUGAUAUUCCGCAUCGGAGAGCGAUGAGCCCCUGCCGUUAAACCCCCAACUUUCCAAGGUUGACCUCAGAUCAGGUUGGAAUACCCGCUGAACUUAAGCAUAUCAAUAAGCGGAGGA
rnacentral:misc_RNA from 1 species